rnacentral:rRNA from 1 species
UACAGAGGUCCCAAGCGUUGUUCGGAUUCACUGGGCGUAAAGCGUGUGUAGGCGGAUCGUUAAGUGCCUCGUGAAAUCCCACGGCUUAACCGUGGAACUGCUUGGCAUACUGGCGGUCUUGAGCAACCUAGGGGCAAGCGGAACAAAUGGUGGAGCGGUGAAAUGCGUAGAUAUCGGGAGGAACACCAGUGGCGAAGGCGACUACCUGGCCUGUUCUUGACGCUGAGGCGCGAAAGCUAGGGGAGCAAACGGG